ensembl:snoRNA
AUGCAUCUCUGACAGACCUGUAGCAGUGCUAUCUGCUGCUAAGGUUUCUUACAGAUGCAAGAGAAGUGUCCUUGCGCUUUCUGUCUGCCUGAUUGUGGUGGCCAAGAUUGAGUAAAGGAAUACAGGG